rnacentral:lncRNA from 1 species
UUGCCCAUCAAGAAUCAUCAAUCAUCAAGAUGACGUUCGAUGAGUCUCACAAUCCAUCAGUGAUACUUAGCAGUACGUAGUGGUAAUCCAGUAGAAUGGAAUAUUGAACCUCUAGGUACAGUUACUGUAUAAUUCAAUUUUUCUAUUAUGAGUCCCAACAAGAUGCAUGUCUUGAUAACUCGUCAAACUCAUUCGUCCGUCAUAU